rnacentral:rRNA from 1 species
CCUACGGGAGGCUGCAGUCGAGAAUCUUUCACAAUGGGGGAAACCCUGAUCCAGCGACGCCGCGUGAGGGAAUGAAGGUCUUCGGAUUGUAAACCCCUGUCAUGUGGGAGCAAAUUAAAAAGAUAGUACCACAAGAGGACGAGACGGCUAACUCUGUGCCAGCAGCCGCGGUAAUACAGAGGUCUCAAGCGUUGUUCGGAAUCACUGGGCGGAAAGCGUGCGUAGGCUGGUUUGUAAGUCGUGUGUGAAAGGCGCGGGCUCAACCCUCGGACGGCACAUGAUACUGCGAGACUGGAGUAAUGGAGAGGUAAGCGGAAUUCUCGGUGUAGCAGUGAAAUGCGUAGAUAUCGAGAGGAACACUCGUGGCGAAGGCGGCUUCCUGGACAUUAACUGACGUUGAGGCACGAAAGCGAGGGGAGCGAAAGGGAUUAGAUACCCUUGUAGUC